GUGGGGAAUCUUCCGCAAUGGACGAAAGUCUGACGGAGCGACGCCGCGUGAGUGAAGAAGGCCUUCGGGUCGUAAAGCUCUGUCAUCAGGGACGAACGGCCGGUGGAGUGGAAAGCCACCGGAUUGACGGUACCUGAGAAGGAAGCCACGGCUAACUACGUGCCAGCAGCCGCGGUAAUACGUAGGUGGCAAGCGUUGUCCGGAAUUAUUGGGCGUAAAGCGCGCGCAGGUGGGAUCUUAAGUCCAUUUUUAAAGUUCGGAGCUCAACUCCGUGAUGGGAUGGAAACUGGGAUUCUUGAGUACCGGAGAGGAAAGCGGAAUUCCUAGUGUAGCGGUGAAAUGCGUAGAUAUUAGGAGGAACACCAGUGGCGAAGGCGACUUUCUGGACUGUAACUGACGCUGAGGCUCGAAAGCCAGGGGAGCGAACGGGAUUAGAAACCCCGGUAGUCC
rnacentral:rRNA from 1 species